GGGGGGCGGGGAGGGCGCGCGGAGGAGAAGCCACGCCCCCAUCCCCGCGAGGAGGGAGGGGGCGGCAGAGCUCCGCCUGGCCCCGUGCGCAUGCGCAGAGAGCGCCUUUUCGUCGUCGAAAGACGACGUUCCCUCCAUCUUUCUCCUCAGAAACAAUGUUUCCUCCAACUUUCUCCUCAGAAUCCUCUAUUUUCCUUCAUCUUUGCCCUCAGAAACAAUGUUUCCUCCAUCUUUCUCCUCAGAAACAAUGUUUCCUCCAACUUUCUCCUCAGAAUCCUCUAUUUUCCUUCAUCUUUGCCCUCAGAAACAAUGUUUCCUCCAUCUUCCUCCUCAGAAACAAUGUUUCCUCCAACUUUCUCCUCAGAAUCCUCUAUUUUCCUUCAUCUUUGCCCUCAGAAACAAUGUUUCCUCCAUCUUUCUCCUCAGAAACAAUGUUUCCUCCAACUUUCUCCUCAGAAUCCUCUAUUUUCCUUCAUCUUUGCCCUCAGAAACAAUGUUUCCUCCAUCUUCCUCCUCAGAAACAACGUUUCCUCAAACUUUCUCCUCAGAAUCCUCUAUUUUCCUUCAUCUUUGCCCUCAGAAACAAUGUUUCCUCCAUCUUCCUCCUCAGAAACAACGUUUCCUCAAACUUUCUCCUCAGAAUCCUAUCUUUUCCUUCAUCUUUGCCCUCAGAAACAAUGUUUCCUCCAUCUUUCUCCUCAGAAACAAUGUUUCCUCAAACUUUCUCCUCAGAAUCCUCUAUUUUCUUUCAUCUUUGCCCUCAGAAACAAUGUUUCCUCCAUCUUCCUCCUCAGAAACACAACAUUCUAAUAUAUAUAUAUAUAUAUAUAUAUAUAUUUCUAUUACUAUUAUAUUAUUAUUAUAUUAUUUAUUAUUCAUGACUACAUUGAAACUACAAUAGAGAGAAAUCAGCGCGGAAACUGCAAGAGGUACCAUAGAUGGUUGUACAUGGAAAUAAUGGUAGUAAAUAGUUUUUGAUUACAGUUAUAUAUUACAAUUAUAUAUUUUUUGUUAUUUAAACUAUAUAUUGUGAAAUUAUGUGGGGUUUUUUCUCACACACCACCCAAGUCAUGCUAGGUUUUUUGGUGAAUUUUGACACACCGAGUGCCAAAGGUUGCCCAUCAUUAAUAUAGAUGUUGCCUAUGUUUCUCUAGCGAGUUCAGUACGUCCGCGGUUCUCCUCCUGCCCACCCAACAACUGUCCCAAUUUGUUUCACAGGCCGCUAACCAAGGAGAGCCCGCUAUUCUCUGAAGCUCUUGUCAAGACGUUGCUCCGAGUAUAUAGGAUGGAUCUCGUUUCCUGUCAUUUGACCCACUGGCUCGUGUUCGAGACACCCCAUCUUCUCCACGACAGUCGGUGAGAUAUUCAUCAUGAGUAUUGGUUUCACUCUACGCUAAACAUAAACUGCUUUCUCAGUCGUUCCUCAUAAAACAACUCUUUUCAGAAACUGGGUUGCUGUGAGUUUUCUGGGCUGUCUGGCCAUAUUCCAGAAGCAUGAUGUUUGGCCUACACCUAUGGCAGGCACCCUCAGAGGUUGUGAGGUCUGUUGGAAACUAGGCAAGUGGGGUUUAUACCUGUGGAAAGUGCAGGGUGGAAGAAAGUCCACGGCUCCAUGGUGUCCUAAUUUUUGAAUUGGCAGGAAACAACACGGGCACAAUAUGUCAUCCUUUCUGAUAUCUGAACAUGUCCUUCUCUAAGCUAAACAGUCCCGGGUUCUCAGAGGAACUCAUAGUUUUCAGACCUCCAUCUUGUCCAUUUUUGUCUCUGGUGCCCAGAACUGGACACGUUAUAUUCCAGGCAAGGCAGUCCAGCAUUUCUUGCAACUCAACUGAGAUCUUCGGGUAUUUCCCUUAUGCAUUUAGAACAUUUCGUACCUCUUCACACAAUAUUUACUCACACAAUAUGAACUCAAAGAGCUGCAUGUAUGUCAAAGCAAAACCUUGUUCUCUGUCCCUCUCUCUCCCUUCAAGAAGCGAAACAUACUAGGAAUAAAAACCACACGAAAUCAAGAGCCAAGCGGCCAGAAAUCUCCCAAAACAGACAGGAGCACGAGGCCCAGAGGCUGCUCCCUUGAAGCCCGAAAGCCCUUUACUCUCAUGCCAGCGCUGUCUCUGAACUCAAAGAGCUGCUCGUAUGUCAAAGAAAAACCUUAUUCUCUGUCCCUCUCUCUCCCUUCAAGAAGCGAAACAUACCGGGAAUAAAAACCACACAAAAUAAAGAGCCAAGCGGCCAGAAAUCUCCCAAAACAGACAGGAGCAUGAGGCCCAGAGGCUGCUCCCUUGAAGCCCGAAAGCCCUUUACUCUCAUGCCAGCGCUCUCUCUGAACUCAAAGAGCUGCUCAUAUGUCAAAGCAAAACCUUGUUCUUUGUCCCUCUCUCUCCCUUCAAGAAGCGAAACAUACCGGGAAUAAAAACCACACAUGGGGGACAAUACUGAACCUGGCGGGACACCACAGGACAAUGGCUGUGGGGCCAAACAGAUGGCACUGAAUUCCAAAACUCCAGAUAAUCUCACCCAACAACUUCAUGUAGAUGUUAAACAACAUGAGGGACAAUAUUCAACCCGGCCGGACACCACAGGACAAUGGCUGUGGGGCCGAGCGGGUGUCUCUCAGCAACACCCAUCCUUGCGAUGUGACCCAGAAAGAUACCGUGGUCUGCGGUAUUGGAGAUCCAGCAGAACGAACAGGGACACACUCGCCUUGUUCAAUAGUGGAACUCUCUGCCUCGGAGUCCGGUGGAGGCUUUUAAGCAGAGAUUGGGUGGCCCUCUGUCGGGGGUGCUUUGGUUGUGCUAUUCUUGCAUGGCAGAAGGAGGCUGGACUAGAUGGCCUGUGACUUUGCACACAGAGACGCACCAGCAACCCUUAACUUGUGCUCCUGUUUGCAAACCGAGGCAGAAAUGCACGCAGCUUCUUCCUCGGUCCCAUCUGCAGGUUGCCAUGGCGUUGGUACCGAUGGAUGACGCAGGGGUUGCCAUGGCAACCAACCCAGGAGGAAGAGGAGAGGCUUGGUUCCCAUCCAUCCAUCCAUCCCUCCAUCGCUGGAUCCGACAGGCCAAGGCCGGCAAAGCUGACUAAUCUGGCUCAAAGCGCUCCCUCUUUGACCUACAUACGAUCCACUUUACCCUCCAUUCGUUCUCUUCCAGCACCUUCGUUUCCUUCCUUCCUUCCUUCCUUCCUUCCUUCCUUCCUUCCUUCCUUCCUUCUUUUCUCGGCAUGUCAUUUUUUAUCACCCUUCUUUCAGACUUGAUAUAAACAGUUUAUUGAUAUAAAAAGGUAGCAAAAAAAUAAGUCAAAAAGCAAUAAGGAAAUGCAAUAAUUCAAAUGUAAACGUAGCAAUUCAAAUAGUGUUCAACGUCCCCAAGAACAGCACGUAAAUCCUUAAAAGACAAGGCUUACACCAUCGAAGCAAAAUCCAAAGCACAUGAUAGAAACAAGAAUGCUUUCCCAAGAAACCACAGGCAACACUUGAGGCUUGGAAACAGGAACCAUAGGCAACAUUUGAAUGAAGGCCGGAACAAAGCAGGAGAAACUGAAGACCUGGCGAUAAGUCUUUACUGGCUUCGACUUGGUCUGGAAUAAAGGUUUUUGUACAAGGUCUGGUGGACGAAUGGCACAAGCACUUUGCACUAUUUAAAAUUUGGUGUAUUGUAUAUUAUAAUUGUUUUAACUGUUUUAAUGUUUAUUUUAUUGUACUACUAGCUGUGCCCAGCCACGCGUUGCUGUGGCUUGUCUGGCGGUGUUGGUGAGAACUUGUUGAGGCUGGAUGGCCAUCUGUCAGGAGUGCUUGGAUUGUGUCCUCCUGCAUGGUAGAAGGAAGUUGAUCUGGAUGAUCCUUAGGGGUCACUCCAAACCUUAGGAUUGUAUGAUGAUGAUGUUGUUGUUGUUGUUGUUGUUAUUAUUAUUAUUAUUAUUAUUAUUAUUAUUAUUAUUGAGAGGCUGGGUGGCCAUCUGUUGGCAAUGCUUGGAUUGUGUCCUGCAUGGCAGAAUUGGGUUGGACUGGAUGGCCUUUAUGGGUGUCUCCUAACUGUCUGAUGCUAUGAUUCGAUGUGUAUUAUUAUUGUGCAGAUAUUGGAUGGCCAUCUGUCAGGAGUGGUUAGAUUGUGUCCUCCUACAUGAUAUAAGGAUGUUGAACUGGAUGAUCCUUAGGGGUAUUGUAUUAUUAUUAUUAUUAUUAUUAUUAUUGAGAGGCUGGGUGGCCAUCUGUUGGGCUGAGGCGGUUGCUAGGGGACCAAGUGGGCGGAGCUUAGCCUUCUAACUGGCAGCAAUUGGAUAAAAAUUCCUCUCCCUCUAAUUAGGACUUUAUAUUUCUUUUCUUUUUGUUGUAUGAACGUAGAGGCAUGGAUGAGGGGUUAUGUUGCCAAGUUUAGUGUUUCUGGGAUGUGUAGUUUUGUUGUUUUGUCCUAGGCCGAAAUUUCAUUACCCUUUUAUAUAGAUAGAUAUAUAUAGGAAUGUAAUGUGGAUAAUUCCCAUGGAGUAAACAACAAAACCACUGGACCAAAUCACACCAUUUGGCCACAAAAGACAUUAGUCAUCCAAUCAAUCUGCAUGCGGCAGCGUGUCAGCAAAAAUGGCUAGGCGUGUCAGUGCUGACACAUGUGUCAUAGGUUGGCCAUCACUGAUCUAUACACAUAAUAAAAGUGAAAAAUGUGUAUCUGUGUACGUGGAAGUGGUGUCCACUUACACAGACAGCCCCCCUCCGGCCUCCACAAACAGCUCUCGUUCCCCUUGAGCAGGAGACACCCGUGGCCCUCCGUCCACCGACAUGCAGGUUAUGGUGAGCGCCAAGAACGUGUCCCAGACCCUGCCCAUGUCCCCCACAGACACCACCCUGCCCCCCACCCAAGGGAAAGCUUUCAUGUGUGGACUAUUUCCUCCUAGAUGUUAUGUUUCUUCUCCAGAAUGGACAUUCCAGGUCUCCUUAAUUUGCAUGAUCCCGCCCACUGCCUCUCCCUUAACCCUUUCCUACCCUUUCCUAUGGCACACAGCUAACCGAGGAAUUUAUCAGCAACCGGACAAGAGGAUUGGAGAGAAUUCACCAUGAUUUACAAGAAUUGUACUUGGUCUACAACCAGAGUGCAUUGUUAGCCCAACCAAUGAUGGAUCUGGACCACACUUGCCACGGAUGAUGGGACUUGCAGUACCUUUGCUGAUACUGUGACCCCCACCGACAAUGGACUGGGACCAAACUUGGCACAGAGAAGCCCCAUGAGCAAAUGAACAUACUGCAGGGGUUCGUGGGAAUGGACCUUGAUUUUGGGAGUUGUAGUUCACCUGCAUCCAGAAAACACUGAACCCGGGUGACGUCAGAUCUGGACCAAACUUGGCACACAGACCCAACAUGGCCAACUGUGCAUACAGGCCUGGUUUGGGGCUGAUUGAUCUUGGAUCUGGGAGUUUUAGUUCACCCUUAUCCAGAGAGCCCUGUACCUAGCCAAUGACGGAUCUGAACCAAACUUGGUACACAGACCCAACAUGGCCAACUGUAAAUAACAGCAGGGCUUGGGGGUGAUUGCCCCGGGAAUCUGGGAGUUGUAGUUCACCCUUAUCUAGACAGGACUGAACCCGGCCAACAACAAGCCUGGACCAAACUUCAGUGAUAUGACCUAACAUCCCAAAACCAAGAAGGCCUUCUUCUAAUAACCUGGACACCAUUCUGAACAUGAAGGCCUGCCAUGACUAGCUGCUGCUUACUGAACUGUAAUUCAAAGUUGCUAAUGGGAGCUGGAAAAUUGCUAAUGAGACCUGCCACAGAUGUGGGCGAAACAUCAGGAGAGAAUGCUUCUGGAACACAGCCAGGCAGCCAUGACUCACAGCAGCCCAGCUUCCUCCUCCGCCUCUUCCCGGCCGGAUUCGCCGACACAACAUCAAAGGCGAGAGACAAGGCGAGUGUGGCUCAAGCAAUCUUUAUUUUGUGUUUAUUAUUUUUCAAACCAUGUUUUAAAAGU